CCCUUGGCUAGCUCGCAACGCAACGGGAGGCGAUUAGACAGUGUUGGGGGUUCGGUUUUGGCUGAAUGAUUAUGACGUUGCUGAAUGAUGAUUGCCGACUGCUGACUUCUGUUGCCUAAUCCUCUAGCAGGAAAUCAACAGUUGGUUCUCGAAGACGAACACGAGGAGGGAGGAGGAGGUCUAUGCACUGCGACAGAGUGGGUUCAAUACCUUGGACUUCGCUCUACGGCGCGAGAGAGAGCCCCCAGAACGCGACGCGUCGUCACCAAUUCGCGGCUGAAAAUGAACUGUGGGGAUCAAUGAAAUGGGAAUGGGGCGGCGCACUUCUUCUGUCGCCGCUAUGUAUCCCACCUUGGGCUCUCCAAUUUUCAUUCACACAUAAAUACUACACACGUUGAAAACAACAGGCACUUGUCAUCGACUUGGUCCGAAUAUCUUAUUGAAUCACAUGAAUGCAUGUCUGUGUGAGAGUGCUGUUGCGAGAAGCUCUGGGAGAUCAUAUUAUGGGGCAUUUAAACACCAAGAAACCCGAAAAUGCUUCGGGGAGCAUGAAAGAUUGAUUAAAUAAUAUUCAGUACUGUAGGAGGAUUUAGGUACUAUCACUACUCCAACUAAUCAGUAAAACAUUCCAUUGAGAAUAAUAUUUCUUGUUGAUCUUGUGUAAUUAUGUCUUGUGUAUUGCUUAAUAGGAUCGCAAGGAGGCCAACUGUCAAGGACAGAUCAUUGAUAUUUAUAGGUAGUUAUAUAAUCGAUCAGUGGCAACAAACGAGAUAACAAAUGGCCUUAAAGAGAUCCUGGAAACCAGUGAACCAAUCACAGGAAGAUAAAUCGUAUAUCCAUCAAAGGGAAGAAGUAAAGCGUCUCGUCAUUAAUAAUAAAAUAUUAGCCUCUAGAAGCGCAGAACAGAGUUAUCAAUUGCAUAGAACCUUUCCGCUUGGCAUCAUGUAAGUCAUGUGAUCACCCGGCCAUUCCUCCCGUAUGUCAGUGCCAAGGACUUACUCGUAUAAGUACGUAAGUAUAUCUAUCUACAAUACAUCCGAAUUAUGGAACAGAUAAUGUUAAUUUGACAAACUAAAUUAUCACUAAAAAAACACAAUGCAGUGAGGGGAUUAGCAAUAAAUAAAAUGAAUUUUAAAAUGUUCAUGUUACAAACAGAGUACUUGUCUCCUCGUACUCCUUUUGUAUACAUAACACGAAUAAUGCGCAUACGCCACAUGUAACACACAUGACAACAAGAAUGAACAAGAGCUCCAGAACGUGAGCCUCCCCUUCCAAGCUGCAAAAUCCAAGACGCGAACUAUGAAGAUGCAUCGCAGUUAUAUGUCAUGCGCCGAAGCACACGCCGCAGUCGUGGAGCGACCUCCGCUGCUGAAAUGUGCCCCAUGGAGCUGCGCCAGCAACGCGACUGCCGAUGCCACCACAACGACCUCCGCUGCCAGCAAAAUGUGCAGACGGGGGAAAGACAUUCGCAUGUCUGGCAAGUACAUUGCGUGCUGGCAACGUGUGCAUGGAGUCCUCUUGAAGGAAAACGGAUUAUAAAACGCCCCUUCAUUAAAUCGA